rnacentral:miRNA from 1 species
GGGAUGGGAAUAUUAUAAAUGUUUAGAGGGAGGUCAAAGAGGCACAGGCGCUUUGAGCAGUUUUCCCAGGAUCCCGCA